GUGUGGCUGGUGGAUGGAGCAUGCUGUUCGUGUAAUUUGGCAGAAGGCUGCACGUUGGCACCAGAGGGCAGUGAGAAGGAGAGGAGCCCACUGGCCCCCAGCUACUGAGUGGACAGUUACUAUAAGCGAAGGAAGAAACAUCGGUGGUGGAAAUACAUAGCAGGUCUUCAGGUGACGGGGCACGUUGACCGUGCAAGAAGGAUGGCCGGCAUGGGUGUAAUUCAUCUGAGAAAUCCUCACAGUGGUCAAAGAAGGGGGAGACUCAACGGCUGUUUCUUUUUCCUUCAUUUUUCAAACAAAGACGCUUCACGAGAACAGUAAGCCCAAAAGAGAAUUGUGUUCAUUGCAAGACUGUUCAAGCAUUGGCGGAGAGAUUUAUAUAAACAAAUUAUUCAGUUCUUCCUUUGGUGACCUCGGUCCUGAGAGUGAAUGCAAUGGUCCUACAGCUUUUUGGCCCUUCAUCAGCACAGAAGCUGCAGUCUGCGCGCAGCAAGACCCCACCAAACGGAGGAAAAUUAAAGCGAGAAAUGGUCCAUGGCGUAUUCUUACCCACCAUAAAUUGGCGUCAUUUUGGCCACCGUCCAGGGGAGAGAGACCAGCCUCCUGAAACAGAGAAAAAAGAUCAGACACUGCUGUAAGGAAGGGAGGUUUGUUGAGUUGCUCUCCUCAGGAUGAGAGAGGAAAACUGAGAAGGAAUUAACAGCAGCAAAUCGUCAGCAGGGGUUUUUUAGAGGAAAUAAAUCAACUGGAGUUUUCCAACAAAGAAAGGCAGAAUGCAGCACAGCACAUCAGAAAAAAAUAGUAAGAAAGAAAGGAAGAGAGAGAGGGAAGAAAUAAUCGGGUCCAGAAUUAUCCCAAUUGCCUUGCUCGGUGCAAACACACACACACACACACACACACACACACACACACACACACACACACACACUCCGCACUCUAUAAUCCUCCCUCAUGCCCCUAUCCUGCUGAUCUUUCUUCACUUAAAAAUUAUCAGCAAAGAAUUUAUUCAUUUGGGAGAAUUCCAGGCACUACAUUUAUGUUCAGUUCGAAUGAAAUGGGAUACAGACUUUUCAAACUGUGCUGCUCUGCAGAUAGAACACAAAGGCAGGACCUCAUUAUCUGGAGACACGGUCCUUUCUUUUUCCUCUUGCCUUUUGUUUCUGAGCAAUUUUAGGCUUGUUUGGAAAGUCUCAUAAGAGGGGCAGAGCGUUUUUCACCACAUCUAUUUCAGGAGGGUUUUUACUUAAGAAUAAUGAAUCUACCUCUAAACAGAUGGAAGAGUUUUACCAAAGCUAGAAAAGACACUUUUACUAAUAUCCCCGAUAGGCUGAUCUUAAUCCUCUCAUUGUUAGAAAUGCUUGGUCUACGAGAGUCUUAUUUAUGUGCCAAAUGUCUUUAUUAAAUCAUUAAAUUAACACAGA